rnacentral:rRNA from 1 species
UACGUAGGUGACAAGCGUUAUCCGGAUUUACUGGGCGUAAAGGGAGCGUAGGCGGAUAAUUAAGUGGGAUGUGAAAUACCCGGGCUUAACCUGGGUGCUGCAUUCCAAACUGAUUAUCUAGAGUGCAGGAGAGGAGAGUGGAAUUCCUAGUGUAGCGGUGAAAUGCGUAGAGAUUAGGAAGAACACCAGUGGCGAAGGCGACUCUCUGGACUGUAACUGACGCUGAGGCUCGAAAGCGUGGGGAGCAAACAGG